GCGCUCGUAGCUCAGUGGAUAGAGUGACGGUUUCCGAAGCCGGUGGUCGCAGGUUCAAAUCCCGCCGGGCGCACCA
rnacentral:tRNA from 1 species